rnacentral:lncRNA from 1 species
GAACAACCAGCUCAUAUUGGAGAAAGGUCACAGAGGGCUCCAGAGAGGGGAAAGGCAGUUCUCAAUAGAGUAAAGAAUAUAACUGAUACUUAAUAUAAUAAAAGUAGAUAAUGCAAG